rnacentral:rRNA from 1 species
CCUCCCCUUCCUUUCCUUUUUCCCUCCCCCUCUUUUUCUCCUUUUUUUUAAUUCGAAGCAACGCGAAGAACCUUACCAGGGCUUGACAUCCCUUGAUCGCUGUAGAGAUACAGCUUCUCUUCGGAGCAAGGAGACAGGUGGUGCAUGGUUGUCGUCAGCUCGUGUCGUGAGAUGUUGGGUUAAGUCCCGCAACGAGCGCAACCCUUACUUUUAGUUGCCAUCAUUAAGUUGGGCACUCUAAAGGGACUGCCGGUGACAAACCGGAGGAAGGUGGGGAUGACGUCAAAUCAUCAUGCCCCUUAUGUCCUGGGCUACACACGUGCUACAAUGGUCUGUACAGAGGGCAGCGAAGCAGUGAUGCGUAGCGAAUCCCACAAAACAGAUCUCAGUUCGGAUUGCAGGCUGCAACUCGCCUGUAUGAAGCUGGAAUCGCUAGUAAUCGCAGGUCAGCAUACUGCGGUGAAUACGUUCCCGGGCCUUGCACACACCGCCCGU